rnacentral:rRNA from 1 species
CGGAGGAUGCAAGUGUUAUCCGGAAUCACUGGGCGUAAAGCGUCUGUAGGUGGUUCGAAAAGUCCACUGUUAAAAAUUGAGGCUUAACUUCAAAGAUGCCGUGGAAACUUUCAAACUAGAGUAUGGUAGGGGUAGAGGGAAUUUCCAGUGGAGCGGUGAAAUGCGUAGAUAUCGGGAGGAACACCUGUGGCGAAAGCGGCUCACUGGACCACAACUGACGCUGAGGCGCGAAAGCUAGGGGAGCAAACAGG